rnacentral:pre_miRNA from 1 species
CAAGUAUUCCCUCCGUUGCAUAAUUUUUGUCGAAAUAUUACAUGUAUCUAGAUACUUUUUAGGAAUAGAUACAUCCAUUUUUAAGCAAAUUUAAGACAAUAAUUAUGAAACGGAGAAAAUACUAU